UACGUAGGAGGCGAGCGUUGUCCGGAAUCAUUGGGCGUAAAGCGCGCGUAGGUGGCCCCAUAAGUCCGCUGUGAAAGUCAAAGGCUCAACCUUUGAAAGCCGGUGGAUACUGUGGGACUAGAGUACGGAAGAGGCGAGUGGAAUUCCUGGUGUAGCGGUGGAAUGCGCAGAUAUCAGGAGGAACACCAAUAGCGAAGGCAGCUCGCUGGGACGGUACUGACGCUAAGGCGCGAAAGCGUGGGGAGCGAACAGG
rnacentral:rRNA from 1 species